CAGCCGCCACGGGAAUACAGAGGGUGCGAGCGUUAAUCGGAUUUACUGGGCGUAAAGCGUGCGUAGGCGGCUUUUUAAGUCGGAUGUGAAAUCCCUGAGCUUAACUUAGGAAUUGCAUUCGAUACUGGGAAGCUAGAGUAUGGGAGAGGAUGGUAGAAUUCCAGGUGUAGCGGUGAAAUGCGUAGAGAUCUGGAGGAAUACCGAUGGCGAAGGCAGCCAUCUGGCCUAAUACUGACGCUGAGGUACGAAAGCAUGGGGAGCAAACAGGAUUAGAUACCCCAGUAGUCCCUGUCUCUUAUAC
rnacentral:rRNA from 1 species